rnacentral:rRNA from 1 species
CCUACGGGAGGCAGCAGUGAGGAAUAUUGGUCAAUGGACGAGAGUCUGAACCAGCCAAGUAGCGUGAAGGAUGACUGCCCUAUGGGUUGUAAACUUCUUUUAUCUGGGAAUAAAAUGUUCCACGUGUGGGCUUUUGUAUGUACCAUAUGAAUAAGGAUCGGCUAACUCCGUGCCAGCAGCCGCGGUAAUACGGAGGAUCCGAGCGUUAUCCGGAUUUAUUGGGUUUAAAGGGAGCGUAGGUGGAUUGUUAAGUCAGUUGUGAAAGUUUGCGGCUCAACCGGAAAAUUGCAGUUGAAACUGGCAGUCUUGAGUACAGUAGAGGUGGGCGGAAUUCGUGGUGUAGCGGUGAAAUGCUUAGAUAUCACGAAGAACUCCGAUUGCGAAGGCAGCUCACUGGACUGCAACUGACGCUGAGGCUCGAAAGUGUGGGUAUCAAACAGGAUUAGAUACCCUUGUAGUC